rnacentral:rRNA from 1 species
AUUGAACGCUGGCGGCAGGCCUAACACAUGCAAGUCGAGCGGUAGCACAGAGAGCUUGCUCUCGGGUGACGAGCGGCGGACGGGUGAGUAAUGUCUGGGAAACUGCCUGAUGGAGGGGGAUAACUACUGGAAACGGUAGCUAAUACCGCAUAACGCCGCAAGACCAAAGUGGGGGACCUUCGGGCCUCACACCAUCGGAUGUGCCCAGAUGGGAUUAGCUAGUAGGUGGGGUAAUGGCUCACCUAGGCGACGAUCCCUAGCUGGUCUGAGAGGAUGACCAGCCACACUGGAACUGAGACACGGUCCAGACUCCUACGGGAGGCAGCAGUGGGGAAUAUUGCACAAUGGGCGCAAGCCUGAUGCAGCCAUGCCGCGUGUAUGAAGAAGGCCUUCGGGUUGUAAAGUACUUUCAGCGGGGAGGAAGGCGGUGAGGUUAAUAACCUCGCCGAUUGACGUUACCCGCAGAAGAAGCACCGGCUAACUCCGUGCCAGCAGCCGCGGUAA